rnacentral:rRNA from 1 species
GAUGAACGCUGGCGGCGUGCCUAAUACAUGCAAGUCGAGCGAACGGACGAGAAGCUUGCUUCUCUGAUGUUAGCGGCGGACGGGUGAGUAACACGUGGAUAACCUACCUAUAAGACUGGGAUAACUGCGGGAAACCGUAGCUAAUACCGGAUAAUAUUUUGAACCGCAUGGUUCAAAAGUGAAAGACGGUCUUGCUGUCACUUAUAGAUGGAUCCGCGCUGCAUUAGCUAGUUGGUAAGGUAACGGCUUACCAAGGCAACGAUGCAUAGCCGACCUGAGAGGGUGAUCGGCCACACUGGAACUGAGACACGGUCCAGACUCCUACGGGAGGCAGCAGUAGGGAAUCUUCCGCAAUGGGCGAAAGCCUGACGGAGCAACGCCGCGUGAGUGAUGAAGGUCUUCGGAUCGUAAAACUCUGUUAUUAGGGAAGAACAUAUGUGUAAGUAACUGUGCACAUCUUGACGGUACCUAAUCAGAAAGCCACGGCUAACUACGUG